UAGCUCAGCUGGUUAGAGCAUCGUCUUGAUAAGGCGGGGGUCGUUGGUUCGAGUCCAA
rnacentral:tRNA from 1 species